rnacentral:sRNA from 1 species
AGCAGAGGAACCCAGCCUAAGAACGCCGCGUCCUGUGGUAAUGACUGACUGACCAACAUCGUGUUGG